rnacentral:tRNA from 1 species
ACUGUGGCUCAGUUGGUAGAGCAAUGCAUUCGUAAUGCAUAGGUCGUCGGUUCGAGUCCGACCAGU